AUGUUCUGGUUUCUCUUCAGAGUCUAUAAAUCUUUUGCCUUUUACUAAAGACUUCCAUGAAAAGGAAAAAAUAAUAAGAAUAAUGUAUGUUAGCGCUUUUUUUAAAAAAAAAA